AGAAUCAACGCUGGCGGCGUGCCUAACACAUGCAAGUCGAACGAGAAAGUGGAGCAAUCCAUGAGUAAAGUGGCGCACGGGUGAGUAACACGUGACUAACCUACCCUUGAGUGGGGAAUAACUUCGGGAAACCGAGGCUAAUACCGCAUAACACCUACGGGUCAAAGGAGCAAUUCGCUUAAGGAGGGGGUCGCGGCAGAUUAGUUAGUUGGUAGGGUAAUGGCCUACCAAGACGGUGAUCUGUA
rnacentral:rRNA from 1 species